AACGAACGCUGGCGGCGUGGAUAAGACAUGCAAGUCGAACGGGAACUUCAGCUGUAGCAAUACAGUUGAAGUUUUAGUGGCGAACGGGUGCGUAACACGUGGGCAAUCUGCCGAGAAGUGGGGGAUAGCUCGCCGAAAGGCGAAUUAAUACCGCAUAUGAUCAGCUAAGACAUCUUAGCGACAUCAAAGCCGGGGCGAACCUGGCGCUUUUUGUAGGAGCCCGCGGCCUAUCAGCUAGUUGGUGAGGUAACGGCUCACCAAGGCUAUGACGGGUAGCUGGUCUGAGAGGAUGGCCAGCCACAUUGGGACUGAGAAACGGCCCAGACUCCUACGGGAGGCAGCAGUGGGGAAUCUUGCGCAAUGGCCUAACGGCUGACGCAGCGACGCCGCGUGAGGGAUGAAGCUCUUCGGAGUGUAAACCUCUGUUG
rnacentral:rRNA from 1 species